GGUGGUACGGAGAAUCCGGCACCCCCGGAUGAACUGGGGACAGACAGAGAACUUAUAGACUGGUUGCAACUACAAGGAGUGGAUGCAAAUACAAUAGAAAAGAUUGUUGAAGAGGAUUAUACACUUUCUGAUAUUCUCAACAACAUUACUAAGGAAGACCUAAGGUGCCUCAGACUACGCGGUGGUGUCCUCUGUAGGCUCUGGCAUGCAGUCUCCCAGCACAGAAGACAAACGCAGGAGUCCUCACACUGAACCAAGCUGAAGGAAUAAGCAAAUAUCCUGCCUACUUAUGGUCCAAGCUUCUGUUUGUGUACACACAAAUCCUGCCUUUACACAGAAGGACCCUUGUCCAUUUAAUCCAAGCACGUAUAA